ensembl:lncRNA
UUCCUGUCCGUCACAUUAGCGCCUUCCCAAAGAUCCAUUACUGAGCGCUUUGACGAUCUCGAGAGAAGCCUUGGACUGAGAGAUGGAGAGAAGUGAAGAUGCCGUUUAUUUGACUGACAGAGAGAGCUGAACAUGACACACACAUGUAUAUGAACGUGUGGAUGUCUGUGUGCGUUUGCUCAAACUGUGUUCCAUGCAGAAUGGAAAAAAGUCUAUUGGAAUUAAUGACAGGUAGAGGAAUUUAGGCCUACUAAACUGCAAAAACUACAAAAACAACACAGUCAUGCAACAGAGGAGUUUAGCCACAGUUACGUCAUUUAUUUGGAUUAAUUAUGCCAAUUUAUUCUGAUAUGUAGAACACUGUCAACACAGUUAACAAUCAGCAAAAACAUUUGCCUUGCAGCACCACAGAAUGUCUAUUGCAUUUUUUUUUAGAAUAAUUUGGGGUGAAUUAGUGUUCAUCCACGUUCAAUUAUUGAAAGAAAGUUCAAAUUUUUGAGGGUUUUUUUUUCAGCAAGGAUGCAUUAAAUGGAUCAAAAGUGACAGUAAAGACAUUUAAAAAUAUCUAUAUUUCAAAUAAAUGCUGCUCUUUUGAACUUUCUACUCAUCAAAGAAUCCUGAUAAAAAAGGUUUCCACAAAAAUAUGAAGCAGCACUGUUUUUGACAUUGAUAAUGAUAAGACAUGUUUCUUGAGCAGCAAAUCAGCAUAUUAAUGAUUUCUGAAGGAUCAUGUGACACUGAAGACUAAAGUUAUGAUGCUGAAAAUUCAGCUUUGCAUCACAGGAAUAAAUUACAUUUUACAAUAUAUUAAAAUAAAAAACAGCUAUUAUAUUGUAAUAAUAUUUCACAAUUUCAUUUUUUCAUUUCUUUUUGGUUGGAUCAAAUAAAUGAAGCCUUGGUGAUUAAAUAUUUUAAAAAAUCUUACCAACCUGAAUGGUAAUGUACGUAUUCGAAUUCUACUUUAAAUGUAAAAUAUUACUCUGCAUCCUGUUUGCAACUUCAAUUCAGGUCCAAUUCAGUCCUGAAUUCUGCAUGAGUCUCAUGAGCAUGUGGAUGUCUUAUCUACUCCACACUCCAUCUGCUUCAUCUCUGAAAGCAGAAACCAGACCAAAGGACCUCCAAAGCCUGCAGGGGUGUGAUGGAUGUCUAGCAGUUGUCGGGUCCUGUACCCCCAAAUCAGGUAAGUUCAACUUUGGACAAAAAAAAAUUAUAUUACCCCCCAAAAAAGUCAAUAUACCACAAAUAACUAAAUAAAAAAAUAAACAAAUAAAAAGUGUAGAAUAAUAGCAUUUUUCAUGACAGUUUCCAUGUUUUUGCAUAAUUGUAAUGACUAUCAAUUCACUUUUUUAGAAAGCAAAAUACUGUCUGAAAUUCUCGUCCAUUAAUGUGUGCAUGUAAAGAAGAACUGUACCAUCAUUGAUUUCAUAUCAUGCCUGAUCUGUCAGCAUCAGGCUGGCUGCUAAAGCAGAUGUAGCUGAGUAAAUAAUUCAUUAGAUAUUUAGAUGAGUGUUUGGCCUGAUUAUCCACAGACUCCAGGGAUAGAUGUGACUGAGGAUCCUUGAGUGGACUCUCUCUGGAUAAGACUGAGACUGUUAAUUUUGGCUCUGAUUUUUUUGCCUUUGGGUUUUGUUUCUUUCAGCCAAUAGCCUUCAGAGUGUCAGACUUGAUGAGAAACCCUGUUUCCAUAGGCACAUAAUUUAUACUUUUUGCCAAUAAAAGAGAGUAUUUAGACUCCCAAAUUGGUUUGUCAUAGUAAGUACCUUGUGAUAUAUUUAUAUAAUAUAUUUAUUGUAAAAAAUGUAUUUAUUGUAAAAAUAUUUAUUUUAAACAAACUUUUAUUCUCGAUGCAGUUAAUCACGAUUAAUCACAUUCAAAUUAAUUUUAUUUUUAAUGUAUAUUUUGUUUACAUAAUCUGUGUGUGAACUAUAUAUUUAUAUGUAUAUAUGAAUACAAUGCGUGUGUUUGUGUGUGUGUGUGUGUGUGUGUGUAUUCUAAUUACAUAUUUAAUUUUAUAUAUUAUACAGUGUGUGUGUGUGUGUAUAUAUAAAAUAUUUUCAUUAUUAUACAUUGUGUUAUGCUGCUGUCAUAUUACACAUUGUCACACAAUUUGUAAUGAUUUGCAAUGAAUGACAUUUUAAAUGGCUGGUUCUAUCUGUGAAUAAACCAUCAUGAUAUAUAGUAGCCAUCUAUCAGUCAACUAAGAGCCCCACUGUAAAUACGUCAUGCAGAGUCAAUAGAUCAGCAUGUUUCUGUCACAGCUGAUUCACAUUGACUGACUGAUAGUCAUAGCGUUUCCCAUUAGUUGACCUCAGGCUGACCUUACAAUUCAUGCUCUCUAACCUGAGUGGUGGCCUCAGUGCUAAUGUUCUCUGACGACGGUGACAGUGUUCACACGUCUGAAGCCGAUCGGUCCUGGUGAGGGCAGGACAGUAAUCUGGACUGGCUGCUGAGAGUUCGGCUGGGCAGGAGUGUGAUUUAUUUCUCACAGGUGUUAUUUUCACCUCUGAUUCCUGUUGUGACCGUUCACUGGCUUGGAUAAUAAAAGUUUUAUAUUUUAUUGACUGUGCAAUUAUUGGCAUUAGCGAUCUCUACAAGUUUAAUAUUUGCAGCAUACUGUAGUAGUAUUUAUUUAAAUAGCCAUAAAAAAGAAGGGCUUAAAGGAAUAGUUCAACUAAAAAUAAAAACUUGAUGAAAAUGUGCUCACCCCCAGGCCAUUCAAAAUGAAUUUGUUUCUUAAUGGGAACAGAUUUGGAGAGCAUUAUAUUAUUUGCUCACUAAUGCAUCCUCCGCAGUGAAUGGGUGCCGUCAGAAUGAGAGUCCAAACAGCUGAUAAAAACAUCACAAUAAUCCAGUAAUCCACACAAUUAAUGUCUUGUGAACUGAAAAGCUGCAUGUUUGUAAGGAAAAAAUCCAUCAUUAAGGCCUUUUACCUUUAAACCAUUUUUCUAAAAUACGAGUCUAUAAUCCAUAAUAACACCUCCAGUAAAAAAAAAAAAAUACAUCCCCUGUUGUCCUCGCACAUCAAAAUCUACCUAAAUGUUUGUUUAGAACUGUUUUGGGCUGUUUUUGCUUAUAAGCAAUGCUUGAUCUGUGCACAUUUCUCUCCUGAUUCAGACAAGAUGACUUUUUCACUGGAGAAAGCAAUAUUAUGGAUAGAGGACUCAUAUUGUAGCUGGAAACAAAUGCUUGAAGUUAAAAACGCCCUGAUGUAUUUGUUUCUUGCAAGCACACAGCUUUUCUCUUUUAUUCUGACAGCACCCAUUCACUUUCCAUGAAAAAACAAACUCAUCUACAUCUUGGAUGGCCUGAGAGGGAGUAUAUUUUUAGCAUAUUUUCAUUUUGGGUUUAACUUCUCUAUUAAUCACUGAACACUUGAUAAAUUUACUGAAAUACACACCAGCCAGAAGUGUGUAUUUGGAUAUAUAGGAAGUCCAGGGACACACACACCAUUCUAACUUCCUUGACACACCCAAAACACAAAUCUCAAGAGACAAGCAGCCCUGGGUGACUUCACACUCACCUUCUUUCUUCUUCUCAGAUGCAUCUGCUCCAAAAUGUUGUGACACACACCAUGUACCAACACAUGCUUAAAUCAGUCUGGAUAAACCUAGAAACACACACAUUUGCUUGCAUGUAUUUGCAAAUACCUCAAAUCACAGAACCUCCAAAUAUUUCAAUGCCACAUAUUUGAACAUAAUAAUUCAGAUUUGGUGAAAACAUGUUAAUGUUUUUCAUAAAGACAUGUGAAAACAUGUACCUUUAAC